CUGCAUCCCCAUGUCACCGUGUCCUUGUUUCCCUGUGUCCCCAUGUUCCUGGGUCCCCAUGCCCCCAUGUCCCCAUGUCCCUGUUGCCCCGUGUCGCUGUGUCCCCAUGUCACCGUAUCCUCGUGUCCCAAUGUCCCCAUGUCCCCGUGUCCCCAUGUCCCACAUCCCUCAUCCUUGUGCCCAGCGUCAGCUGCGUGUCCACCGCCAGGAACUAAGGGGGGGGAGGGCAAGGGGGGGAGUCAGCGUGUCAUUGUGUCACCGUGUCCCUCUGUCACCAUGUCCCUAUAUCCCUGUGUUCCCAUGUCCCUGUGUCCCUGCAUCCCCAUGUCCCUGUGUCCCCAUGUCCUCGUGUCCCUCUGUCCCCAUGUCCCUGGGUCCCCGUGUCCCCAUGUCACCAUCGCCCCAUGUCCCCAUACCCAUGCAUCCCCAUGUCCCCAUGUCGCCAUGUCCCUGUGUCCCCAUGUCUCCAUGUCCCCACAUCCCCCUGAUGUCCCUGUGUCCCCCCAGUGUCCCCAUGAUGUCCCCGUAUCUCUGUGUCUUUCUGUUGUCCCCCUGGUGUCCCCACAUCCCCACGGUGUCCCUCCAUCCCCUGGUGUCCCCAUGUCCCCGUGUCCCCCCAGUGUCUCCAUGAUGUCCCCAUAUCUCUGUGUCCUUCUGCUGUCCCCCUGCCCCCUGGUGUCCCUAUGCUGUCCCCACGUCCCCCUGGUGUCCCCACAUCCCCCCAGUGUCCGCAUGAUGUCCCCAUAUCUCUGUGUCCUGCUGUCCCCUUGCCCCCUGGUGUCCCUCCCCAUGGUGUCCCCAUGUCCCCCUGGAGUCCCCAUGUCCCCAAGGUGUCCCCAUGAUGUCCCCAUAUCUCUGUGUCCUUCUGCUGUCCCCCUGCAGCCUGGUGUCCCCAUGGUGUCCCUCCAUCCCCUGCUGUCCCCAUGUCCCUGUGUCCCCCUGGUGUCCCCACGAUGUCCCCAUAUCUCUGUGCCCUUCUACUGUCCCCAUUCCCCCUGGUGUCCCCAUGAUGUCCCCGUAUCUCUGUGUCCUUCUGCUGUCCCCCUGCCCCCUGGUGUCCCUCCCCAUG
rnacentral:lncRNA from 1 species